CAACUGUACAACUCUCUCUUUCUCUGUGUCUUUUUGCCUCCCGCAUACACAGAGCCUGAUCAGGCUCCUCCCCCAUCCUCUCUCUCUCUCUCUCUGAAGCCUUCUCUCUCUCAUGGCUUCCCAAGCAAGCCUCCUCCUUCAAAAGCAGCUCAAAGAUCUUUGCAAGAAUCCUGUAGAUGGGUUCUCCGCCGGCCUGGUCGAUGAAACCAAUAUCUUUGAAUGGAGUGUAACCAUUAUUGGACCUCCAGAUACUCUUUAUGAGGGCGGUUUUUUCAAUGCCAUUAUGACGUUUCCAUCCAACUACCCAAACAGCCCUCCGACAGUGAAGUUUACUUCAGAGAUAUGGCACCCUAAUGUAUAUCCUGAUGGCCGUGUUUGCAUAUCAAUCCUACAUCCUCCUGGUGAGGACCCGAAUGGCUAUGAGCUUGCAAGUGAACGCUGGACACCGGUUCAUACGGUUGAAAGUAUAGUUUUAAGUAUAAUAUCAAUGCUUUCCAGUCCUAAUGAUGAAUCUCCCGCAAAUGUGGAAGCUGCUGUGGUAGAACUCAUCAAAGAAUACUGUGCUUGUGUGAGGAUCUUGGGACAGUGGACAUGUUGCAGAUUACUCCGUUGACAAUGAUGAGUAAAAUGCAAUAUGUGACUUUGUUCUCGGACACCCGGUGCCAACAAAAAAAUGUAAUAUGUCAUAUAAUCAGGGAUCUACAUGAGUCCAAGGCAACUGAGUGAAAUUUGCUGAUGAUACUUGGAGAAGUACUCUUUUAUGAUGAAUGUUUGAGAGAAUGGAGGAAAAUGUCUCAACAGAUUUCUUCUCACUAAAAAAAGGUCCAUGUAAUCUGGUGGCAGAACAUCAAGGAACAUUAUACUUCCGUGCAAAAUCCAGAAACGUGGUGCCCGCCACCGUGUGAAAGAAUGGAGAGAUAGGAGAGAUGAUUUCAAGAAAAAGGUCAGCCGAUGUGUAAGAAAAUCACAAGAAAUGUUAUGAUCCAUUGUGCUAUGCUCUUUUGUGCUAGUGAAUGCCAGAGAGAGGUUUUAAGUUCUUGUGCUGGGGGGGACUGGUUCACUGGGCAAUAUGUUGGUUCUUUUAGCAUGCU